GACCCAGCAAGCUCUUAGUAGAGCCCGGGGCCAGCAUCAGGCACGCUAAUAAGCCGCCAACCACGCUUCGCAAAUUUGCCACACCCACAAGGGCCUCAGCAGUGAAUAACAUUAAGAUAUAAGCGAAAGCUUGACUUAGUUAAGGCUAAGAUGACCGGUAAAUCUCGUGCCAGCCACCGCGGUUAUACGAGAGGUCAAAAACAACAACACGUGGCGUAAAGAGUGGGCAGAGAAAGUCUAUAUAUUAAGGGGGCACCAGCCCUAAGCCGUGAAACCCAUAAGAAACAAGAACCCCCACCACCCCUAACAAAAAGACAGCUCGAACCCACGAAAGUUAAGACACAAACUGGGAUUAGAUACCCCACUAUGCUUAACCCUAAACUUAGACAGCCAAAAAUCUUAAGCUGUUCGCCAGGGAAGUAUAAGCAAAAGCUCGAAACCCAAAGGACUUGGCGGUGCCCCACACCAGACUAGAGGAGCCUGUCCCAUAAUCGAUAUCCCACGAUAGACCUCACCCCCUUUUGUCAAUCCAGCCUAUAUACCGCCGUCGUCAGCCUACCACAUGAGAGCGCCUUAGUGGGCGAAAUUGUACUCACAAAAACGCCAGGUCAAGGUGUAGCUAAUAAGGGGGCGGAGAUGGGCUACAUUUCUAAACACGGACAGACACGAAAGACUCGUUGAAUAACCGGGUCAGAAGGUGGAUUUAGCAGUAAAAUAGUUAAGACCCACUAAUUGAAGAACGCGCUAGGGGCACGCACACACCGCCCGUCACCCUCUUCAA
rnacentral:rRNA from 1 species